UUAUAAAUACAAAAAAUAAUAAAAUAGUGUUUAUAAUAAAAAAAUGUUUUAUAAAUACAAAAUUAGUUUUAAUAAAUAUAAAAUAGUAUAAAAAUUAAAAAAAUAGUUUAAAUAAAUCACAAAAACAGUUAAUAAUUACAAAAAAAUAGUUUUAAAAAUAUUUAAAAUGUUAAAUAAUUACAAAAAAUAGUUUUCAUAAUAUUAAAAAUGUUUAAUAAAUAUAGAAAUUUAUAUUUUAUAUAUAAAAUACAUAAAACGUUUUAUAACCACAAAAAAAUGAUUUUAAAUAUUAUAUAUAUGAUUUUUAAUCUUAAAAAAAGUUUUAUAGAUUUUAAAAAUGUUUAAUAAAUAUAUAAAUGAAUUUAAAAUGCAAAAAAUAGAUUUUAUAUACAAAAAACGUUUUCAAUAUAUAUAUAUAAUUACAAAUUCGAUUUUUAUAACCACAAAAUUAAUAAAAACUAAAAAAAAAAAUUCAAAUCAAGUGAUACAAAUCAAAUCUACCAUUCACCCUAACAAAAUCUAUAAAUCUACCAUUCACCCUAACAAAAUCUAUAAAUCUCAUUCCAAAAUCAUCAAAUCUACUUAAAAACCAUACAAAUCUAACCUAAAAGAGUGGGAUAGGGUUCAUACAUGAGGAUUAGGGUGGAAAUCGCGAGGGAGAAGAGAGAAAGCGCCGCAAAUCGCAAGGGAGAAGAGAGGAGUCGACGAAAUCGCAGGAGAAAGAGAGAUUGCGGCGGAGAGAAAUGGGGAAGAAGGUCGGGCUCGACCUAAUAAAAUGAGGGGUCCGACGGAAACUAUCCGUCGGAAUUUCCUCGGAAAUAUUUACUAUAUCCGUCGGAAUUUCCUCGGAAAUCAUUAAUUCAAUUUUCGCGAAAUAUUUGGCGGCUUGGUUUACCCGGUUAAAUGAAAAUAUUCCGAGGAACCAGGUUUCCUCGGAAUUUCCUCGGAAUUUACCGAGGAAAUUCCGAGGAACCAGGGUUUGGGGUUUCAAAACAUCGAUUAUUUUCGCCGUAUUUCAUUUCUUAUACAAUUAUAAUGCAUACCAUUGAGGAUUCUUUGUAUAGAUGAUCAUAAACCAUGAAAUAACAAAAUUUCAAAAAUAAUUGUAAGUAUUCUCUUUACCGUUUGUUAAAGUGUAUAAGUGUUUCUCUUAUGUUGUAUGGUUUUCGUUCAUGCAAUCGUAAAAGUGUUUGUUAUUGGGUAAAACACCAAAGUUUGACUUCAUAAUCUGGUUAAGACACUUAAUGAAGGUUAUAUACGUGUUAUUCAAUCCGUAAAACGUUGUUUUCGGUUUAAAACCCCAAGUUCCUCGGAAUUUCCUCGAAAUUUUCCGAGGGAAUUCCGAGGAAAACUCUAUCGUCGUCGGAAUUUCCUCGGAAAAUUCCGAGGAAAUUCUGAGGAACCAGGUUUCCUCGGAAUUUCCUCGGAAUUUACCGAGGAAAUUCCGAGGAACCAGGGUUUGGGGUUUCAAAACAUCGAUUAUUUUCGCCGUAUUUCAUUUCUUAUACAAUUAUAAUGCAUACCAUUGAGGAUUCUUUGUAUAGAUGAUCAUAAACCAUGAAAUAACAAAAUUUCAAAAAUAA
rnacentral:lncRNA from 1 species